rnacentral:misc_RNA from 1 species
GAAAUGCGAUAAGUAGUGUGAAUUGCAGAAUUCAGUGAAUCAUCGAAUCUUUGAACGCACAUUGCGCCCCUCGGUAUUCCGUGGGGCAUGCCUGUUCGAGCGUCAUCUACACCCUCAAGCUCUGCUUGGUGUUGGGCGUCUGUCCCGCCUCCUUCGCGCGCGGACUCGCCCCAAAUCCAUUGGCGGCGGCCCUUGCCUCCCUCUCGCGCAGCACAUUGCGCUUCUCGAGGCGCGGCGGACCGCGUCCAGCAAGCAACCGGCACACCGUCUUUGACCUCGGAUCAGGUAGGGAUACCCGCUGAACUUAAGC